UGCAAGUCGAGCGGACAGAAGGGAGCUUGCUCCCGGAUGUUAGCGGCGGACGGGUGAGUAACACGUGGGUAACCUGCCUGUAAGACUGGGAUAACUCCGGGAAACCGGAGCUAAUACCGGAUAGUUCCUUGAACCGCAUGGUUCAAGGAUGAAAGACGGUUUCGGCUGUCACUUACAGAUGGACCCGCGGCGCAUUAGCUAGUUGGUGGGGUAAUGGCUCACCAAGGCGACGAUGCGUAGCCGACCUGAGAGGGUGAUCGGCCACACUGGGACUGAGACACGGCCCAGACUCCUACGGGAGGCAGCAGUAGGGAAUCUUCCGCAAUGGACGAAAGUCUGACGGAGCAACGCCGCGUGAGUGAUGAAGGUUUUCGGAUCGUAAAGCUCUGUUGUUAGGGAAGAACAAGUGCGAGAGUAACUGCUCGCACCUUGACGGUACCUAACCAGAAAGCCACGGCUAACUACGUGCCAGCAGCCGCGGUAAUACGUAGGUGGCAAGCGUUGUCCGGAAUUAUUGGGCGUAAAGGGCUCGCAGGCGGUUUCUUAAGUCUGAUGUGAAAGCCCCCGGCUCAACCGGGGAGGGUCAUUGGAAACUGGGAAACUUGAGUGCAGAAGAGGAGAGUGGAAUUCCACGUGUAGCGGUGAAAUGCGUAGAGAUGUGGAGGAACACCAGUGGCGAAGGCGACUCUCUGGUCUGUAACUGACGCUGAGGAGCGAAAGCGUGGGGAGCGAACAGGAUUAGAUACCCUGGUAGUCCACGCCGUAAACGAUGAGUGCUAAGUGUUAGGGGGUUUCCGCCCCUUAGUGCUGCAGCUAACGCAUUAAGCACUCCGCCUGGGGAGUACGGUCGCAAGACUGAAACUCAAAGGAAUUGACGGGGGCCCGCACAAGCGGUGGAGCAUGUGGUUUAAUUCGAAGCAACGCGAAGAACCUUACCAGGUCUUGACAUCCUCUGACAACCCUAGAGAUAGGGCUUUCCCUUCGGGGACAGAGUGACAGGUGGUGCAUGGUUGUCGUCAGCUCGUGUCGUGAGAUGUUGGGUUAAGUCCCGCAACGAGCGCAACCCUUGAUCUUAGUUGCCAGCAUUCAGUUGGGCACUCUAAGGUGACUGCCGGUGACAAACCGGAAGAAGGUGGGGAUGACGUCAAAUCAUCAUGCCCCUUAUGACCUGGGCUACACACGUGCUACAAUGGACAGAACAAAGGGUUGCAAGACCGCAGG
rnacentral:rRNA from 1 species